rnacentral:rRNA from 1 species
UAACAUGCAAGUCGAACGGCAGCACGGGUGCUUGCACCUGGUGGCGAGUGGCGAACGGGUGAGUAAUACAUCGGAACAUGUCCUGUAGUGGGGGAUAGCCCGGCGAAAGCCGGAUUAAUACCGCAUACGAUCUACGGAUGAAAGCGGGGGACCUUCGGGCCUCGCGCUAUAGGGUUGGCCGAUGGCUGAUUAGCUAGUUGGUGGGGUAAAGGCCUACCAAGGCGACGAUCAGUAGCUGGUCUGAGAGGACGACCAGCCACACUGGGACUGAGACACGGCCCAGACUCCUACGGGAGGCAGCAGUGGGGAAUUUUGGACAAUGGGCGAAAGCCUGAUCCAGCAAUGCCGCGUGUGUGAAGAAGGCCUUCGGGUUGUAAAGCACUUUUGUCCGGAAAGAAAUCCUUGGCUCUAAUACAGUCGGGGGAUGACGGUACCGGAAGAAUAAGCACCGGCUAACUACGUGCCAGCAGCCGCGGUAAUACGUAGGGUGCGAGCGUUAAUCGGAAUUACUGGACGUAAAGCGUGCGCAGGCGGUUUGCUAAGACCGAUGUGAAAUCCCCGGGCUCAACCUGGGAACUGCAUUUGGUGACUGGCAUGCUAGAGUAUGGCAGAGGGGGGGUAGAAUUCCACGUGUAGCAGUGAAAUGCGUAGAGAUGUGGAGGAAUACCGAUGGCGAAGGCAGCCCCCUGGGCCAAUACUGACGCUCAUGCACGAAAGCGUGGGGAGCACACAGGAUUAGAUACCCUGGUAGUCCACGCCCUAACGAUGUCAACUAGUUGUUGGGGAUUCAUUUCCUUAGUAACGUAGCUAACGCGUGAAGUUGACCGCCUGGGGGAGUACGGUCGCAAGAUUAAAACUCAAAGGAAUUGACGGGGACCCGCACAAGCGGUGGAUGAUGUGGAUUAAUUCGAUGCAACGCGAAAAACCUUACCUACCCUUGACAUGGUCGGAAUCCCGCUGAGAGGUGGGAGUGCUCGAAAGAGAACCGGCGCACAGGUGCUGCAUGGCUGUCGUCAGCUCGUGUCGUGAGAUGUUGGGUUAAGUCCCGCAACGAGCGCAACCCUUGUCUUUAGUUGCUACUCAAGAGCACUCUAAGGAGACUGCCGGUGGCAAACCGGAGGAAGGUGGGGAUGACGUCAAGUCCUCAUGGCCCUUAUGGGUAGGGCUUCACACGUCAUACAAUUGUCGGAACAGAGGGUUGCCAACCCGCGAGGGGGAGCUAAUCCCAGAAAACCGAUCGUAGUCCGGAUUGCACUCUGCAACUCGAGUGCAUGAAGCUGGAAUCGCUAGUAAUCGCGGAUCAGCAUGCCGCGGUGAAUACGUUCCCGGGUCUUGUACACGCCGCCCGUCACACCAUGGGAGUGGGUUUUACCAGAAGCGCUAGUCUAACCGCAAGGAGGACGGUCACCACGGUAGGAUU